rnacentral:lncRNA from 1 species
AGAACCUAUUAUAUUGUCAUCAUAUCAUCAUUUCAGUUUUUAAUAUAUUUUUUUUCUUUUUUAUUGCAGCUGUACAUUUUGGAAAGAUUUUCUACACUCAUUCCCAAACUUAUUUUUGAAGUGAUAGGAUGAUGUUUCAUCUGAAAGUCAAGAAUUUGAAAUCCAUGGCUGAAUGCAUCUCCCAGAAUCUCCUGUUAGAUAGUUCUUAUCUGAGAAAGGAGAUGAGAAAUAUCUUCCUGUGGAUUGCAGAUUGCAGAGUACUUACUCCAUAAGCAGAUUGCAGAGUAUUUACUGAAGGAUUCAAGAUCAGGAAUAGCAGCUAGCAGUUUGCUUUCUCUCACAGCCCCCCUUACCCUCCUGCAAGCAGUCACAUUGACUUCAGGCUAACACCAAGAGAGCUCUAUAUUGAAUGCCAAGAAUUGCCUGAAACAGGUAAUUCCUUUGAGAUCAUCCAUGUUAAAGUGACUCAAUGCAACCCCAUUUGGCCAUCUUCUGAUAACUGCACUUGGAAAUCAAAUGUGGGAAUGAGCACUGCGAGUCCUUUUAGAAACUAGUUUUAAAUUAGCUUUGAAGAUUUUUAUUUCCCCUCCCUCUAUCUUUUCUUUGCAAUUAAAGACUCAGUUGUGUUUUUCUCUUGUACUAUCAUAGCAUCAGGUUCCUAAACAAUUUUGUAAAAUGGUGAGCAAUCUGUGAGGAGUUUAUAAAGUGAGUUUAUAGAGAUCAAGUGACUUGAUAGAGUGGUUCUGUACCAAACGUAGGAACAGAAGUCUGUAUCUGUACAUCCAACUCCAUUAUUGGAUUUUUCCACCUCAAGUUAAUAUGUAGGCCACUCUGAAAGUAAUGCUUUGUAUUAAUUUCUGUGAAAACUACAACAGAUACCAGAGGCACAAUAACACUAUUUGAUAGAGCAAAUUCUCAGCUACAGACCACUGUUUUUCAACAUGGUUCCUACUGUUAGCUUUACAUUUUCAACAGCAGUGAACAAAAGCCUGCAUGCCUUGCUCAUAAAAAUCUGCAUGGCCAACUGGAGCAUGGCUUGUAUUUCACAUCACUAUUCCCACUGCUGAAACACACCACCCACUGCUCACUGUGCUCACAUCCACUGCUUGGUCUCCAUAAAAACACAGCAAGUGUUGCCAUUUUUUUCCGCAUGGAGGGAUUCAGUGAUACACCUUUGCUUCAUCCACAUUUCCACGUCAGACACCAUUCUAUCAGACUGCC